GAUGAACGCUGGCGGCGUGCCUAAUACAUGCAAGUCGAACGCUGGAGAUCUAGCUUGCUAGAUCGAAGGAGUGGCGAACGGGUGAGUAAUACAUAAGCAACCUACCCACGAAGACUGGGAUAAUCUCUGGAAACGGGGACUAAUACCGGAUAGGUAAUCGGAAGGCAUCUUCUGGUUAUUAAAGGUUAAAAACACUGGUGGAUGGGCUUAUGGCGCAUUAGUUAGUUGGUGAGGUAACGGCCCACCAAGACGAUGAUGCGUAGCCGGCCUGAGAGGGUGAACGGCCACAUUGGGACUGAGACACGGCCCAGACUCCUACGGGAGGCAGCAGUAGGGAAUUUUCGGCAAUGGGGGCAACCCCGACCGAGCAACGCCGCGUGAGUGAAGACGGCCUUCGGGUUGUAAAGCUCUGUUGUAAGGGAAGAACGGUAGAUAGAGAAUAUCUAAGUGACGGUACCUUACCAGAAAGCCACGGCUAACUACGUG
rnacentral:rRNA from 1 species